GGAUCUUUGUUUCCCAACCAGAGAUCGAACCUGCACCCUCUGCAUCGGAUGCACGAAGUCUUAACCACUGGACUGCCAAAAUGUUUUCAAAUAUUUAUAUCACCAAUAAAAAUAUAUGUCUUGUUAGAAGUGAAGAAGAGAUUCAGUAAAAAACUGGUGAUAUCUAGAAGAAUAAAAUCAUCAUUGAGGACUUCCCUAGUGGCGCAGUGGUUAAGAAUCUGCCUGCCAAUGCAGGUGACAGGGGUUCGAGCCCUGGUCCGGGAAGAUCCCACAUGCCACAGAGCAACUAAGCCCGUGCGCCACAACUACUGAGCCUGCGCUCUAGAGCCCGCGAGCCACAACUACUAAGCCGGCGCGCCACAACUAUCGAGCCUGCUCUCUAGAGCCCAUGAGCCACAACUACUGAACCCACGUGCCACAACUACUGAAGCCUGCAUGCCUCGAGCCCAUGCUCCGCAACAAGAGAAGCCACCGCAAUGAGAAGCCCCUGCACCACAACUACAGAAAGCCCGCAAGCAGCAACGAAGACCCAAGGCAGCCAAAAAUAAAAAUAAAUAAAUUAAGAAAAAAAACCUGUUUAAAAAACAAUCGUCAUUGAGAAUAGGAUCGUCAUCUCUGUUUUGUUGUUGUCGGGUAAAAAGAUUUUAAGAUGAGAUGCAUACGGUGGAGACUAAUAUGUAGCUACAGAAGACUUGCACUUUGGCUUCCCUCUACCCCUAAAACAGAAAUCAUGUCCAAGGAGCUAUCCAUGGAAAAGUGGGACCCGGAAUGACUGCAUACUCAUGACAGUUAACCAAGCUGCCCUGGAGUCGCCCAGCUGCCCAGGUGUAUAUACAGGAUCACCCAGCUUCCCAGGUAUCUAUCUAUCUAUCUG